rnacentral:misc_RNA from 1 species
UUUCCGUAGGUGAACCCGCGGAAGGAUCAUUAUUGGAUUUUGAAACUUCAGGCUGCUGCUGGCUCCCCUCGGAGGGCAUGUGCACGCUUGUUGUCCAUUAUUUCUCCCACUGUGCACAAAUUGUAGACCUUUCAGUAGGCCUAUGUUGUUUUUCACAAUCUCUGAAUGUAAUAGAAUGGUUUUGAAUCUUGGGAAAUACAAUGCAACUUUCAGCAACGGAUCUCUUGGCUCUC